GCAAACUUGGUCAUUUAGAGGAAGUAAAAGUCGUAACAAGGUUUCCGUAGGUGAACCUGCGGAAGGAUCAUUAUCAAGACCUGAAAUUUCAUUUUGAAGUUUCUAAAGUGUCCACAUUUUUUGUACAAACCUCUUCGGGGGUUUGUGCAGGAUUUGUCCCACCCUUUGUGAACCAUUCUCUAUUUGCUUCGGCAGCACCUUGCGGAAGAAAUUCCGUGAAGGGUAAGGCUGUCAGAAGCCCACUAUAACACUAGUUGAUAAAAUACAUAACAGUCUGAUAUUAUUUUUGAGAAAUCAAAAAAAUUCUGUUAAAACUUUCAGCAACGGAUCUCUUGGUUCUCGCAUCGAUGAAGAACGCAGC
rnacentral:misc_RNA from 1 species